rnacentral:tRNA from 1 species
AGGAUUAUAGUUUAAAAAUAAAACAUUUGAUUUGCGUUCAAAAAAUAUUGAAAAAUCAAUUUAUCUUA